CCAAAGGCUCUUUUCAGAGCCCCCACCCUUUCAAACGGAGAGCUU
rfam:Tupaia chinensis contig173117, whole genome shotgun sequence.